rnacentral:lncRNA from 1 species
GUUUUGCUCAAAGCGGUAAGAGGUAAUUUAGCCUUUCAAAGAUUACAGUGACAGCUGCCAAGAUAAGCUAUUAUUUCCCAGCUGGGAGAAGUGGCUGCAGUGACAGUCAGACCAGGUCAGCGUUAUCCUGAGAGAAACCCUGACCUUGCUGGAGUAGAGAUCAUUGUUAUUAUUUCCCCAUGAUGACAUCACCAGUUUCCCAGAGGUGACCUCUAACAGCCACAUGGCUCGGACUCCAGGUCCAGGAGUUGUACCACAGGAGAAAAACCCUGAGAUUAGGAAUUGGGGUUUUAUGUAGGAACAGGAUACCUACCCCCCCAACCCUCCUGAGAAAAAAGAGAAACCUCUGCCCCGCAGGCUUUCACAGUCCUUUGGAACGUAAAUGACUUCCCUGAAGAAGAGAGGGGGAAUCUGCAGGACAGGACGCGCACAGCAUUUGGCUCUGGAAGAGGUAAGUGUUAUUACCCUUUGAAGGAGAGCAGAUGGUUCAAGGUCUAUCGAAUACCCUUAACUUCCAAGGCUUGUCCUUUAACCCAGGUGCCGGUAAUGUUUCCUCAGAAAGUCCUAACUGUGCAGAACCAUGAAAAUAUCCACUUCUUGAUACACAUCAGUGGUUGCUUGUGGCUGAAUGUUGGAGCGGGAUUGACAGCGACUGGCAGCCAUUCGUAUGAUGCACAUGUUUGCGAUCAAAUCUCCCUCAAGAGCUUCAGAAGUGACGCCUGGAAUCCACAUUCUAAUGUCAAAUUCUAA